AUGCGUUUAGCUGGAAACCACUGGAGGUGCGUGGGAGGGACCGGAUUCAGGGAGCGUCUUCGCGUGGUGGCUGAAUUGAAAGAUUUUUCCCCGACCUUCUGGAUACCCCGGGGUCCAGUAAUAACUCGGAGAAUCCAUUUUGCCCAGACAAAGCUUCCCCCCCCCCCCACCCCGCCCAGUCCUCCUCCUCCAGACCUUCCUGCACUGUGUCCCUCUCCUGCUCCACAACCUUCGAUGGCUCCUUGCUACCAUGGGAGUGAAGUCUCCGUUAUCUUGCCGCCGAAUUCGAGGCUUUCCGUUCUGUGUUUGGGGCCUACUCUUUGCUGUCGGAACUACCUGCUCUAUCCAGACGUUUUUCCCCGGUGCCCCACCGUGCCACGCUCUUUCAGACCCCCGGCUCUGCUCGCAAGGUCCCGGGGGCGUGCCAUGCCUUUCCCCCCUCGGCCCCAUCUGCCGUCACUCGGCCCUACCGGUACCAUUUACCAGCUCGAACAGCCUUGAGCAAGCAAGCUCCUUUGUCGGUUACAUCAAACUUGACCUCCGUGAAGGACGAAUCAUGAGACAGCAAAGUCGGAGCGAUGGACCCAGGAGUCAGCAAUGUUUCCCGCUACACGGGAAGCUUGCAAUGGGCUGUUAUUCGCGCCUGCCCUCCUCGGUUAAGAUUCCAGCACCACUGCGAAGCACGGUCCAUCAGGCCAUUCUGCUGGCGGGCAGACUGUGGCUCAGAGAGGUUAAGCGCGUGACCUGAGCUCACACAGCAAGCCGGUAACACAGAUGGGGCUCGAACUGAAAUUUUCUUCCCUCAAACGCAGACGCUUUCAAACAGUUGGGCUCCCCGUGGCAGGAGCCCCGCUUUUUAGCCGAGCGCGUGGCCGUCUGGCUUCAACAACUGCAUUGCCCAGCUUCCCGUGCAGCCCAGAUGUGGUCAUAAGGCGGUGCCCUGGCCAGUGAAAUAAAAGCAGAACCGAUGUGUGGGACUCUCA
rnacentral:lncRNA from 1 species